CUGUUCUUGGUGGUGGUGGUGAUGGUGGUGGUGGUAUAUUGAAACAUGCCUGUUGUGGAUAUCGCUCUGUACAAAUAAAAUGCUGAUUGGCCAGUAGCCAGCCAGGAAGUAUAGGCGGUACAAACAGAGAGGAAAAUUCUGAGAAGUGGAAGGCUGAGGCAGAGAGACGCUGCCAACCGCCACGAUGAAAAGCAGAUGCUAAGAUACCGGGAACUGUCCUCUUAAAAUGAUACAUGAUGAAUCUCACUGCUAGAUGCUCUGACAUUUUGGGAAGAAACAGUUUGCAGACAUCCUGGCCUGGAGCAACUCCUGUUUCUGCCUGAAUACUCACUCACCCAGGACUGCAACAGAAAUUUCUCUAUAAAAUGUCAUAGAGAAGAAAGAAAUGAAUGAAAGACCAGUUAUCACAUGGAGAAACAACCUGAUGGCAAUGGCCACUCCCUUAGACCAAUAUUCAAACUAACAGUUUCCCAGACUCCAAGAUGAUCCAAGGGGCCUAUAAACCCACUGGAGAGGGGAUGAAAUUAAGUUCAGUACUUUGUCUUUAUGGAAUGUGCAUUCUUCAGAGAGCUUCAAAGAUGUCACCGGCUCCUAAUGUUCUAGAAGUAUAUAAAAAUAGUAUAUGCAAUUUA